GACAGGAGGAGCCGCAGAGCUCGUAAUUGCUGCGGGGAGGACAGGCCAGCUCUGGAAGAAAACAGACAGGGUCUUGCUCUGUUGCCCAGGCCAAGUGCAAUGGCAUGAUCUCAGCUCACUGCAGCCUCCCGAUUGUUCCGAUGAAACUUUUAACCACGUGGUUUGUUAUGCAUGUCACACCCACAGGCCACUUCAAACUUGCAGCACACAGUGAGCAACUCGGACAAUAUAGGGUCCAGUGCUGGGAGGUGGACCUGGGUCCCAUUAACCUGGACAGACACCUCCAAGAUGAGCAUGAGGGGGCUGCUGGAUCUGUUCUCCUUUCACAGCUGUAUCCUGAAGAAUGGCAGUGAGCCGGAAGAGCCACAGGAUUCGGCAAAGACGGACACACAGGAGAGGCUGCUUGGAAAUGAAGCUAACACAGCCUAAGGCAGAUUUGAGAGAGCAGCUGGAUCCAGCUGUACCUGAAGCCAAUUUGCUCCAGGAAAAUUCCAGUUAAGUGAACCAAUUAAAAUCUUAAAUCUCAAA
rnacentral:lncRNA from 1 species